GGUCCCUUCGUCUAUCGGUUAGGACAUCAGAUUUUCAUUCUGAAGAGAGGGGUUCGACUCCCCUAGGGACUGCCA
rnacentral:tRNA from 1 species